rnacentral:rRNA from 1 species
UACGGGGGGGGCAAGCGUUGUUCGGAAUUACUGGGCGUAAAGGGCUCGUAGGCGGCUCGUUAAGUCAGACGUGAAAGCCCUCGGCUUAACCGGGGAACGGCGUCUGAGACUGGCAAGCUUGAAUCCGGGAGAGGGAUGCGGAAUUCCAGGUGUAGCGGUGAAAUGCGUAGAUAUCAUGAGGAAGACCAGUGGCGAAGGCGGGUCUCUGGACAGUUCCUGACACUGAGACACGAAGGCCAGGGGAGCAAACGGG